GUCACGUGAUUGGGUGUUUAUAAACACUGUGUGACAUCACCUGUUUACAGUUUUCCAAGCUCUCGGUUGAAAAUGGUCCGAACGGUUCGUGUCGAAAUGGCGACAGAAAUGGACAGAUUCGUCUCUUUCGAAGAGACCCAUUACGAUCAAUACGACUACUACAACCUACUCGAAUAUCCCUGCAACGCUGCUGGAAAAGGCAGAAGCAAGAGGGAGGUGGAGAUGAACACGAAUCGCCAUUGUCCAGCAGGACACGAGAGGAAAAUAGCAGAAAAAUAUCAUAACAGUGAGGUGAAACGCAGAAGAACAAAAAGCGCUUCUUCUUGAUGGCUGUCAACGGUUAUUACGGAUUUUGGAAACAAGUUUACCUUGACCAAGUAUCUCUACCUUUCCUCACCCAAUAAAUGGAGUGCUGUGACAAAGCAAACAGUCAUGAGACCACUCUCCAUUCCAUGCAUCUACCCUGCAACAAGACCUGCUGCUCUCAUGUUACAGCUGGGCAAGAAUAGUUUGUGUUGAGCUGUCUAGAGUAGGUCAAUCAUGUGUGCUUGGUAAACAUAUAGAUAUGCAGUUCUGUAUGAUGUAUGAUGCAUUGUACUCUAUUUUAAAAUUAAAUAAAGGCUUUGUUAAAUCUAA